GCCCCUAAAUCUUUCCCUUUCCUUGUUUCUUCACGUAGUUCUGGGGACAAAUGGGGCUUCGGUUUGAUCAGAAGAAAUCCCGACAGAUUGUUUUCCAUUUAUCUGGAGACCUCUCUACAAUUUGGCCACACCU
ensembl:snoRNA